AGACAGAGGUGGCAAGCGUUGUUCGGAUUUACUGGGCUUAAAGGGCGUGUAGGCGUUCUGAUAAGUCAGGUGUGGAAUCCCUGGGCUUAACCCAGGAAUUGCACUUGAAACUGUCAGAAUUGAGUCAUGCAUAGGAGGGCGGAAUUCCUGGUGUAGCGGUGAAAUGCGUAGAUAUCAGGAGGAAGGCCGGUGGCGAAGGCGGCCCUCUGGGCAAUGACUGACGCUGAGGCGCGAAAGCGUGGGGAGCAAACAGGAUUAGAUACCCUGGUAGUCCACGCCCUAAACGGUGGGUACUAGGUAUGGGUGGCAAUAGCUAUCUGUGCCCAAGGGAAACCGUUAAGUACCCCGCCUGGGGAGUACGGUCGCAAGGCUGAA
rnacentral:rRNA from 1 species